UUCCAUGGCGGGCGGUGCGUGGGGGUCUUCGGACCCACCGGCUUUGUACCUACCCGGUUUUCGAGCCACGCAUCGUCCGCCACCUUU
rnacentral:antisense_RNA from 3 species